UAUGUGAUCGUCUCUCGCAUAUCAAUAAGCGGAGGAAAAGAAACUAACAAGGAUUCCCCUAGUAACGGCGAGUGAAGCGGGAAGAGCUCAAAUUUGAAAUCUUAAAGGGUUUCCCUUUACGAAUUGUAGUUUAAAGAAGUGUUUUCUGUUGAGGUUUUCGGUAAAGUUCUUUGGAAUAGGACAUCAUAGAGGGUGAGAAUCCCGUAUUUGACCGUUACUUUCCAGCUAUGUGAUACACUUUCAAAGAGUCGGAUUGUUUGGGAAUGCAGUCCAAAAUGGGUGGUAAAUUUCAUCUAAAGCUAAAUAUUGGCGAGAGACCGAUAGCGAACAAGUACCGUGAGGGAAAGAUGAAAAGAACUUUGAAAAGAGAGUUAAACAGUACGUGAAAUUGUCAAAAGGGAAGCGUUUGACACCAGUGUUGUUUUUCUGAAAAUCAAUUAAAGAACUGUUUAUGCUAAGCUGUUUAGACUUUAUCAGCUAACUGUUUAGUUUUGAGCUUUUCUUUAAUGCACUUUUCAGUUAACAAGUCAACAUCAAUCUCUUUUGCUGUAAAAAAGCUUGAGGAAGGUGGCUUGAGAUUCGUCUUAAGUGUUUAUAGCCUCUUGCCUAUGCAGUCGGAGAGAUUGAGGUCUGCAGCGUAGAUCCUUCGGGGCUAAAUGCAUCUGUGCUAAGUUAUAGCAUUUUAUAGACAACUUGUUGACUAUGAUUUGUCUUGUAGCUUACUCGCUUAUGUUAUUUUACCUACGCUUAGGAUGUUGAUAUCGCGCUCUCACUG
rnacentral:rRNA from 1 species